rnacentral:rRNA from 1 species
AUACGGAGGAUCCGAGCGUUAUCCGGAUUUAUUGGGUUUAAAGGGUGCGCAGGCGGCCAUUUAAGUCAGCGGUUAAAUCGUGGGGCUCAACCCCAUUCUGCCGUUGAUACUGGGUGGCUUGAUUGCGGUCGAGGUUGGCGGAAUUCGUUGUGUAGCGGUGAAAUGCAUAGAUAUGACGAAGAACACCGAUUGCGUAGGCAGGUGACCAGACCGCAAAUGACGCUCAUGCACGAAAGUGCGGGGAUCGAACAGGAUUAGAUACCCUGGUAGUCCGCACAGUAAACGAUGAAUACUUGUUUUCGGCGAUAUAAUGUCGGAGGCAAAGCGAAAGCGAUAAGUAUUCCACCUGGGGAGUACGCCGGCAACGGUGAAACUUAAAGGAAUUGACGGGG